GACCAGAAAAAUCAAGGAUGUCUUCCUGGAAGAGGUGAUACUUGAGCACAUUCUAAUACCAACAAUGAAAUUUAACCAUAAUGAAAGCUUUAAUAUCCUCAGUGUCCACCUUUAGUUUAGACUAAGAAACUUAUUAAAUGCAUCAUGUCAUAUUCAGGUGGUCUUAAUCACAAGGAAUCUUGAGACUGGAAACAAGGGCCAAUGGAAAAGAAUAAGACAGUAGACAAACUGGAGCUGGAGAGACCUCCCUGACUAGAGUGAAUUGCCAGGUGAAUACAAAAGAUUCCCAGGUCCCAGAGGAUGGUGGAGCUUCAAGAAGAAAGUAGCCUUGGUCCCUAAAUUAUCACAUGAAGAAAAGGGGUACUCCCACCAGAAGCACCUAAAUUGGACUAUUAUAUGAUUGAAAAAUAAACUUUUAUUAUGUUAAGCUA